rnacentral:misc_RNA from 1 species
GUGUUUAUAUGUGUAUAGGUGUUUGUAUGUGUUUGUAUGUGUGUCAAAGAAAUGCGGGCUGUGCACGCAGAGGGGGUGCGCUGGCGGGCGGCCUGGUCCGGGUGGCACAGCAAUGCCAUGCCGCCCAGCCACCUCGGCCGCCCAACCAAUGCUAGCCCCACACCCUGUGUGCCGCCCAUCUCACAAUUCACGGUGCCUAAUCUCAAUAGUACUGUGAUGAUCCUUCCGCAGGUUCACCUACGGAAA